GGGACCUCAGAUUCCCCGGUGAUGCCAAGGAGCCGGAAACAAGGGUUGGGGCCGAGAUCGCUGUCUCGGAAGCCGCACUCUGAGUGGCAUAAGUCCCAUCGGCAAGAAUCGCCGGCCUUCUAGAAGACACCGUGACAGAAGAGUUUGUCUGCUGUGGCCGCUUAGAAGCCUCCGAAUCCCCCUCCUCGGCCACUGUAUAGAAUGGGAGCUCUCCCAAGCACUGCUUAAUUGUCGCAAUCCCACUCUCUACCUCCGAGAUCGAGAGGCAGUACUCACCAAUGAUCCACAGCGCACAUGAGCAAACACGUGAAGCCCGAAUCUGGUAGAACGUGUCCAGCAGCCGGGUAAUUAUCGACACCCUGAGCUUCGGGUUCGUCUCGAUAAUCUCCCUCACAAAGAGGACCACAUCCAAAGCCGACGCAACAUUGCUGUCCCCAAGGAAAUCCAUGAGAAGAUGGACAACAGUGCUCGCAACCUCCGGGAACUUCAUCGCACACGAGUGAAUGGCCUGGACAAGCAUCUGCCGAUACUCACCAUUCUUCUCCAGCUCCCCGCUCUGGGUCUUAACCACCUCCUUCUUAAGAGUCAGCACGACCUCGU
rnacentral:misc_RNA from 1 species